GCGCCCCAACACCGACAAACUCACAAGCAUAGUGGAGAGCAUAACCCCAGCUACUGUGAGAUACCCGCGGGCCACCGACGACAAUCCGGGAAGGGGAGAUGCUGACAUCCCCGGCCUACACGCUGCAGGAAGCCUAGAUGCGGGUAGCAUGAGAGCGGGACCGAUGAAGAGGAGGUACCCGGCUGUGGAUACCCGCAGUGAGAGACUGAGAAUGCACGAAC